GAGUUUGAUCUUGGCUCAGAUUGAACGCUGGCGGCAUGCCUUACACAUGCAAGUCGAACGGCAGCGCGGGAGCUUGCUCCUGGUGGCGAGUGGCGAACGGGUGAGUAAUGCAUCGGAACGUAUCCUGGAGUGGGGGAUAACGUAGCGAAAGUUACGCUAAUACCGCAUAUUCUGUGAGCAGGAAAGCGGGGGACCUUCGGGCCUCGCGCUCUUGGAGCGGCCGAUGUCGGAUUAGCUAGUUGGUGAGGUAAAGGCUCACCAAGGCGACGAUCCGUAGCAGGUCUGAGAGGAUGAUCUGCCACACUGGAACUGAGACACGGUCCAGACUCCUACGGGAGGCAGCAGUGGGGAAUUUUGGACAAUGGGGGCAACCCUGAUCCAGCCAUGCCGCGUGAGUGAAGAAGGCC
rnacentral:rRNA from 1 species